rnacentral:rRNA from 1 species
UACGGAGGGGGUUAGCGUUGUUCGGAAUGACUGGGCGUAAAGCGCGCGUAGGCGGGUCAGGAAGUUGGGGGUGAAAUCCCGGGGCUCAACCCCGGAAUGGCCUUCAAAACUCCUGGUCUUGAGUUCGAGAGAGGUGAGUGGAAUUCCGAGUGUAGAGGUGAAAUUCGUAGAUAUUCGGAGGAACACCAGUGGCGAAGGCGGCUCACUGGCUCGACACUGACGCUGAGGUGCGAAAGCGUGGGGAGCAAACAGG